rnacentral:rRNA from 1 species
UACGUAGGGGGCAAGCGUUGUCCGGAAUCAUUGGGCGUAAAGCGCGUGUAGGCGGCCACGUUAGUCCGUUCUGAAAGCCCGGGGCUCAACCCCGGGAGGCGGAUGGAUACUGCGUGGCUCGAGUCCGGAAGAGGCGAGUGGAAUUCCUGGUGUAGCGGUGAAAUGCGCAGAUAUCAGGAGGAACACCAAUGGCGAAGGCAGCUCGCUGGGACGUGACUGACGCUGAGACGCGAAAGCGUGGGGAGCAAACAGGAUUAGAUACCC